GAUGAAGAACGUAGCGAAAUGCGAUAAGUAAUGUGAAUGGCAGAAUUCAGUGAAUCAUCGAGUCUUUGAACGCACAUUGCGCCCCCUGGUAUUCCGGGGGGCAUGCCUGUCCGAGCGUCAUUGCUGCCCUCAAGCACGGCUUGUGUGUUGGGCCCCCGCCCCCCGGCUUCGGGGGGCGGGCCCGAAAGGCAGCGGCGGCACCGCGUCCGGUCCUCGAGCGUAUGGGGCUUCGUCACCCGCUCUGUAGGCCCGGCCGGCGCCCGCCGGCGACCCCAAUCAAUCUUUCCAGGUUGACCUCGGAUCAGGUAGGGAUACCCGCUGAACUUAAGCAUAUCAAUAAGCGGAGGA
rnacentral:misc_RNA from 1 species